AAAGACUUAGUUUAUAAGUAAAACGUUAAUUUGUCAAGUUAAAGAAAUAGUAAUAUAGUCUUUA
rnacentral:tRNA from 1 species